rnacentral:lncRNA from 1 species
AAGAACAUUUAUUCUGUUAGGUUGUCUCCUGGAUUUUAUGGUAUUUCAAAUUUUAUGAAACAAGAAAAUAUAAAGAAAGUCUUUCUGAAAAAAAAAUGUGGUGGAAUUCCUAUUAUUGAAAUAGCAACAUUUGCGAAAAAGGGAUGGGAGAAGAUGAACUAAAGCCAUAAUUCUUGAUGUCUCCCUCCCACUUCCCAAGUAGUGACUUCCAAAUCUGAUUUCUUGCAACUAGCCCUCUGUCCAUUUUUCUUAUUUGUUAUCAAAGAGACCCCAAGUGAAGAGGGAGUCAUAUCAAAAUGGGGAAUUCAGACGGGAUGCGGUGGCUCAUGCCUGCAAUCCCAGUACUUUGGGAGGCCGGGGCGGGUGGGUCACCUGAGGUCAGGAGUUCAAGACCAGCCUGGACAACAUGGUGAAACUCUGUCUGUACUAAAAAUACAAAAAUUAGCUAGAGGUUAUGGUGUGCACCUGUAACCCCAGCUGCACAGGAGGCUGAGGUGGGAGAAUUACUUGAACCCCAGAAGUCUAAGAUAUUGGUUGCUUUAUUUUUACUUGAAACCAUAGGAAUAUCUCAGUUUUAUCAAUUUAGCAACAUUCUUAGAUUAUUCAAAACAAAAAGUGCUUAAAGAGGACCAUAUACUUAGAGCCACUCUGAGAUGAGAAUAUAUACAAGAGUAGGCAAGGUCCCCCAUCCCAAGAAUUCUGGCACCUACAUUUUAGAGGUUUAUCGCUCCCUUUUUUUAAUUAUAUUAUUAUUUUCUGUCCUUAUGCUCUUUCUUUUUUUAAGCUUCUUGGCUUUUCUUGUGUCUAUCUAAGGUUCUUUACAGUGUCCAGAGGUAUUUAAAUGAAAGAGGCUCAUACGUUUCUUAACAACAAACCCAAGAGACAAAUACCCAAUAUUUGUGUGUGUUAUAUACUUUCUUAAUUGGAACUUUAAAUACCAUGCCAAUAUAUGCAGUUUACAGCCCACCACAUUUUUCCUCAUGAAAACUUUAGACCUAAAACCAUAAAAACCCUAGAAGAAAACCUAGGCAAUACCAUUCAGGACAUAGGCAUGUGCGAGGACUUCAUGUCUAAAACACCAAAAGCAAUGGCAACAAAAGCCAAAAUUGACAAAUGGGAUCUAAUUAAACUAAAGAGCUUAAUGACACUAAAACAGUAGCGCACAAAAACAGUGUUUUUUUUGAUGACUAUUUGCUGUGGUUAAUAAUGUAUUGGUAGUCCGGGCAUGGUGGUUCAUGCCUGUAAUUCCAGCACUUUGGAAGGCUGAGACAGGAGGAUCACUUUAGGUCAGGAAAGAGGCCUCAGAAGAAAACAACCUUACUGACACCUUGACCGUGGACUGCUAGCAUCCAGAUCUAUGAGAAAAUUCAUUGCUGUUUUUUGUUUGUUUCUCCUGGGCUCAAGCUAUCCUCCCACCUCUGCCUCCCUGAGAGCUGGGAUUACAGGCAUGAGCCACCGUGCCCAGCUUAAAGUUGUAUUUUAUUUUACUUUGUUCAGGUAAGCCAAAGCCAAUAAAUUUAAUGCACAGGGAUUUUCCUUUGCUGGGGGACAGCUUCAGUUGCAAUGAGAAAGAGCUGAUUUUAUGGAAAGAGAUAAGCUUGAUGAAGAAUUGACAAACAGGAGGUCUGAGAUUUGUUUGCAGAAAUAUUGUUGACUUGCUCGGUGGAUUGGACAAUCACCCACUGAGUACUAUAGCCUCCUUCACUUAAAAAGAAGAAAACUCUCUUCACUUUUCUCAUAGCUGUCUCUAGCUGACAGCACAUCAUAAAGUGUGCUUCAUUUUUUUUUUUUUUUGCCUUUAUUGCUAUGUUUAAAGUUCUUGAGAAUGCAUUGAACCAGCUGGUUUGGUACAUAAUUGGAACUGAGUAGUACACAGGAAGGUUUAAAAAAAGUUAUCCCCUUCCUCCAGAGGUCGUAGUCAUGGAAACCUGCUAAUACCUUUAAAUAAAAUAUAUCCAUUCUUUCAAAGGAAAACUUGAACACCAUGUAUAAAGAUAAAUGUUUUAUGAAAUAAUGCAGGUUGGCUUGGAGAUAUUCUCCUUUGUCACAGUAAUUAUUUUACUUUCCCUUUUACACUAGAUGAAUGUAUUAGUCAAUGUUCUCUAGAGGGACAGAACUAAUUGAAUAUGUAUAUAUAUAUAAAGGGGAGUUUAUUAAGAAUUAACUCACACGAUCACAAGGUCCCACAAUAGGCUGACUGCAGGCUGAGGAGCAAGGAGAGGCAGUCCGAGUUCCAAAACUGAAGAAAUUGGAGUCCAGUGUUCCAGGCCAGGAAGCAUCCAGCACAGGAGAAAGAUGUAGGCUGGGAGGCUAGGUCAGUCUAGCCUUUCCACAUUUUUCUGCUGCUUAUAUUCUAGCCGCGCUGGCAGCUGAUUAGAUGGCGCCCACACAGAUUAAGGGUGGGUCUGCCUUUCCCAGCCCACUGACUCAAAUGUUAAUCUCCUUUGGCAACACCCUCACAGACACACCCAGGAUCAAUACUUUGUAUCUUUCAAUCCAAUCAAGUUGACGCCCACUCUCAGCAGUGAGGCAACCAAUACCAUUUUUAAGCACUUUUUACUACCUAGAAAUGCCCAGGAUUUAUAUUUGUUUAAAAUUUUCAGGGUCUUUGAAGAGGCAGCUGCCUGCCUGAAAACAUCUCUUAUGGGUUCCGUGAUAUUCCAAUACAUUUGCUACAGUGGAUCAAGUCAUCUUCUAUAGAAAACCAUCUUUCUCUUACCAAGUGCCAACAAGCCAUCAGGGAGGGUUAACACAUUAAAGCAUAACCCCUAAUGUUACAUCUACAUUUCACAGCACAGGACAGAAUGCAGAAGGAAUAGAUUUUUGGAACAAAUCUGUCCAGGCCAUGUAUUAUGGUCUGAGUUGUUUAUGUCUACCCCAAAUUCCCAUGUUGAAAUCAAAUCACCAAUGUGAUAGUAUUAGGAGGUAGAGUCGUUAAGAGGUGAUUCCACCCUCAUCAAUGGAGUAAGUACUGUUAUAAAAGAGGCCCCAGGGGCUGGGUGUGGUGGCUCAAGCCUGUAAUCCUAAGACUUUGGGAGGCUGAGGUGGGUGGA